rnacentral:lncRNA from 1 species
AGGAAAUAGAGUCAUGCCGCCCAGUGGAACAUAUGACUAUAUGCUUCAUGCACAAUAUGACUACCUUGUGGAGAAUUUGAGUGAAUAUUACCUUACAUAGUUAAGAAGCUCAGUUGUCGAAUGAAUUGCAUACUCCCAUGGUUUCCAUCGGAAUAUGAUGGGAUCGAGUUUACGGUUCAUUCUUUCAUAAUUCGGUUUUUCUUUUUGGCCUCAAAUAACAUAAAUAACUUCUUUUUUUCUUUUUUCUUUUUUCUCUCAUGGUAUACUAUCUGAUACUUAUCUUAUGGGAGCUGCGAUGAUUACACCCUCAUAUGGAGCUUCUAACUUCUGGAAAUGGUAAGGCUGGUUGUUUCCCUAAUAUUUUGGGUUACAAUUUGCAUUUGGUAGAUUCUAGAGGGAGAUUAGUCACCUGAAACUCAGCUGAAGCCUUAGUAUUGAUGUAUAUUUGUUUCCGCUGGUGUUGCAAACUCCAAUAAUGGUUUAGUGAUAUGUAAUCCGCUUACAUUAUGUUAUGUUAUGUGGCGGGUAAUACUAGUUUUUAUUUUAUUCCCUGUCAAUUGUCAACAUACACAUCUUGAGUAAUCUUUUCGGUCAUCUCUCAAGAUAUUGAAAUGUAUAUUGCUCGAAGGUUACGACUUGUUAACCAUUAUCAGAAAUGUAGAUUUACUGAAAUAUUUCUUGUUGAAUCUUCCUCUAUUAUCCUGGCUUUGAUACUUUGAAUGCAAGUGGAUUGAAAUUAUUGAAGAACAAGGGGAGAGAAUAUUUGUAGGUUUCAUUUGCAAAUAGGCCAAUCUAUCUUUAGUUGUCUGAUGCUCUCUCUGGACCCAGCUGUCUUUGGUAUCCAUUGUGAUGAUGCUUUCACUGAAAAUCAGAUGUAACAAUCUCUCCCAUUACUGGAGAAUUUCUUGCAUUGAAUUUAAUUCUUGAGACUGAAGCAAUACAAGCUUCUCUCUCUCUCUCUCUUUCUCUCUCUUAUUCUCUUCUGUUUGGGAAGAAUUCACGAUGUCCAACCAUCCUUUCAAAAGAAAAAAUAUCUGCCACCAUAUAAAGUCUUCACUUCAAUUUGCUGACUACAAUGUUUGUGAAUAAGUUCUAUGGCUGUUCAGCUUGUGUUUAUGGACCUUAAAGAUGAAAGAUUUAGCUCUCUACUUCCCCCAUUGUGUAGUGGUCUAGUGUUCUAAAAGAGGUUAUGAAGUAUCAAUCUGCAAAUGUAGAUAACAUGAGUUGCAUUAGAAAUCAUUUGCAGCUACACAAGUAAGAUUACUCGUCAAUUUGGCUGUUCGCUGGCCAAUCAUUGUGUUGCCUUUUAACAAUUGCAGGUGAACCAUCUAAUUUUACUCAUAUCUCAUCUACCAAAUUAGCUGAAUUUGGAUUGACAACCAUUUUUAGGGUUAUUACUCUCUCUCUAUAUACACACACACACACAUAUAUAUAUUGUGAAAGAUGCAAAAUCAAAGCUAAUCAACCAUCCCAGUAAACCCUAUAUAAUGUUGCUUUGGUGGAAAGGGAAUGGUUUUCCGAGAGAGAAUCCAUGAGGGAAAAGAGCUGUAGCACUUCUGAUAGAAUCUUAUUUCUGGAAGGCAAUGGCGUAUAAAAUACUUUUAGUAGUUUAUAAUACAAUAUUCAAAACAAAGUUGUACCCCAGAGAAUUUCAUAAGUUGAGAACUUAAAAAACCAAUUAUAAAAUGAAUUUUGUGAUUAUUUAAGGGCAUUAUUGAUAACAAAACGACAUUCAUUUAAGUACUUGUAAAGCUUUUCAACCUAUGACAUGGUCUUGAGAUCGCCGUGACUUGAAAAUCGUGGCUGUUAUGGAUUAUCACUGAAAAUAGAGAAAUAGAACAGAUAAUAUAGUGGAGCUGAGACAGUAGUAAUAUGAAUCUCCUCCAAGCAAUAUGCACAAAUGCAUGCUAAAUCAAUAUAAACGGUUCCUCGUAGCAUUUAUAUUACAAAACAUGAAAGCUAACUUGAACAUCAUUAAUACAAAAUUUCCUAUGCUAUUCUAUGACUCCAACAGCAUGAAGGAGAAUUAUGCAAAAUGCACGGGAAGACGAUUCCAUUGGGGAGACGAGAAGCCUAUAGAACUAACCAGAUCUGUACUAGUAUCUAAAUAUCCAAUUUCACUCUAAGGAUGGCGUUUCUAUAAAUUGAGCCUGCUGCGAACUCAGGGUAUUUAGUAAUAUACGGGCCUUGCCAAAGCAAAGAAAGCAUCAGUCUUCACUGACAUGAGCAACUCUAUUACGACAACCUCAUUUGGGCGCUCGAUCCUUAACCCAGUUUCAAUAAAGCCUGCUUGAUACAAAGAUGAAUAAGUGCACAAGUUGAUAGGAGUUAAUUAAAGAUGAAUUUUACACGAAGAAGAAUUUAGCUUACCCGGGGACAAAUUCUUUCCACCGUAUAAUUGCUUUGCUAAAGGAUUUGCGGCCCAAUAGUUAACAGCAACCCGACUGGUUGGUUGGAAUCCCACAAUCUUUCCUUCAGUCGUCAAGACCACCUAAGUUUUAAUAAGCAGGUGAACAAACACGUUAUCUAUAAAUAUUAAACAAAAGCGGUACUUAACAGUCAUUUUACUCUAGUAUGAGAACUUUUAACGUUGAACAUGUCAUAUACAGAGUCUUGAGCUUGCAACCUAGAAGGUUCUGUUUAAACUGACCAUUAUUGCAAUUUGCAAAGGUAAAGGUGCCAACAGUCUUAUAAAAUCUUGAUACAUCUUUGAACCAGAAUUUUGUUAAGGAAUGGAAACCCUUUAUAUUUCGAUCGGAGAAAAUAUAAUUUGCCUAGUUAAAAAGGGAUAAAUUAAUGACAAUUAGGGAUUGAACUUCUGAUCAAUUAACUUGAUGAAAGAAGACUAUUCAAAUCAUUUCGAAGCGAGACAAACGAUGUGUUGUGUUGAGAUAAAAAAUGAGAGCAUUGAGAAGAGGAUGAUGAAGGAAAGUGGAAGGAUUUUCAAAGUCGACCCAGAGAAAGCUUACAACUAAGUAGAAUAAAAAACCCUUCUAGAGAGAGAUCUUUGGUCCCAAUCAGCUAAACUUGAAGGUGGUGUUGGUUGAGCUUUCUUACGGAAAAUCUGAAUUUGGAAUUCUUACCUUGAAGUAGGGAGAAGUUUAAGAUAAGACGUGUGCUUCUCUCCUUGUUUAUCCUAGUGAGAGACAUGCAAAGCAGGAUACUCUAUCAUAUCGAUGUCGGUUAAAUAGAAGGCUCUAGGAUUGAUAAAGAUAAAGACCAUUGCACCUUGCAAAUGACAAUUCUAUUUUGAUACGAAAGGCAUGGAGGAAAAACUGCUAAAAUGGAGGGCAUCCCCUGUAAGCCAAGACUUGGAAGCUGGCAGAAAGAGAACUGGAGAAUAGGAUGAAUAUGUAUCCAUGAAAAGGGGUUGCAGUCAACAUUUUCCACAAUUAUGGAAGAGGAAUCCAACAUUAGUAUGCCCAUCAUUUUGGAAGAAGAAUGCAAGAUUGUAUAGGUCAGUAAACGAUUGGAAUGGUUGGCUUGAACACUAUUUUUGUCCCUUUGAUUCAGUAAAGUUUUUGUACUGGUAGUUUGACACAGGGAACCUAGCAGUGAUGUGAUGUCAAAGCGAUAUGAAAAUCUCACGACAAAUCUUGAACUUUGACAGAAAAUCAUCUCUUUUUUGUAUAUAAAAGAAAGAUGGGAGUAGUUUACAGGAGAACUAAAAAUGGAGGCUGCUCCAGUCCUUAACGUAUAUAUAUCAAAUCCUGGGGUAUGAUAACAGCUCAGACUAGAAAAUGGUAAUGAACCUGAUUUGGAAGGGCAGAUGGCGCUCAUGGCAGGCUGAACAAGCACAGAUGCAGAAAUUCCCUGCUUUCGCUAUCACAACGUCACAGGAGAUUUCCGUCACUCAUCAGUGAGGCUAAGAAGAAAAGACCAAGUCCUGGAGAAGUUUGAAUGUAGUGGAACUGCCAGUAAAUUCAACUUGAAAACUAGACCUGAAUGACUCCCUUUUCAGAGGAUAAAAAAAAUCCUUGUGUAUAAGAAAAUGUUGGUGACAUAUAAUUAAAUUUGCCUUCAACCACCAGCUUAAGCUUUUGGAUGAAUUGGUGGUUUAAUAUGAUAUGAGGGCAGGAGGUCCAGGGAGGUCCUGUAUUCAAGCUCUGGCAUUGUUGUUUCCUCCUCAAUUAAAAUCAAUUUCCACUUGUUGGGUCUUUCAAAUAUUUCAAGCCCACAAGUGAAGGGGAGUGUUGGUGAUAUAUAAUUAAAUUUGCCUUUAACCACCAGCAUAAGUUUUUGGAUGAAUUGGUGGUUUAAUAGAAAGAAAGUUUUUAUCAUUAUGCUUAAGUUUCACUACUAGCAUUUGAGAAACCAAAUACUCAGGUCUUUCAGUCUUUGCACACUUUCUAACAUAUUGUGAAACAUCGUAAGCAGACAUAUACCCUAAAUUGCCCCAUUAAGAGGCUGUAAAGCAAAAGAAAAUAAAAUUUUCAAAUCACCUGAUAACUAGCAAUAUCCUGAGCAGAAGCUUUUACUUCAUCAAUAUUUUCUUCUCCUAUCGUACCCGAUGGAGCAUCUUCACUUCUAAUAUCAGAUUCAACCACCGUCAAGUAAUCAGGAGCAUCCCCAAUCCACGCACCAACUCUCUUACCCGUGCGUACAUCACCAUGCCAACCAAAGGCAUCUUUUAUAAUUUUUACAACUGAGAUGCAGUAUUCUUCCAACUAUCAAUAAAAGGUUGGUAUAUUAAAUUUUAUAUCUCAAUAUAAAUAUGAGUGAGAAAAUAUUGGUGAAUACCUUUGCAGCUUCUAUAGCUUGAUCUUUCACAGAGCUAAGUCCAUCAAGCGAUGUAAUAGGCUGUUCUGCACUAUACCGUCCAGGCAAACGAACCCGUGACAUAAAUCGUUGACCAACAGCACCAAUAGCAACAAGAAAAACUCCACCAGCUAAAGUCUUGGAUAGCAAUCCCCAUGAGGAAUAGUUUCGCUGAAACAUGUCGAGCACAUAAUUCAAUAGAAAACAACUUUUUGCUCCAAGAAGAAAGAAGAAGCGACAACUUUGAGUAAGGUUUGCAAAGAAACCAAUGCAAAACCAAAUACACACACAGGUUAGCAGAAUAAACAAGAACAUUAAUUUAUAAUUAUAUAAAAAUACGUACAUACAAGCAGGUACCUUUUUGCUUAACAAGUUAGCAGAAUGCACAUUUGCACCACAUUGCAGUUGUUUAUCGGGCAGAGAAUAUACAUCUUCAUAGAACAUGUCUAAUAUGUUAGCCAAUCCUACCUGCACGACAAUUGGUCAGAGAUAUUUUAGAAUAGGAAGUAUAAACACUGUUAAUGUCAGGCAUCUCUUCAAGUGUUAGACUUUUUCUUAAGUUUUGGAUUCACUAGACACACGGAAGACAUAGACACUAAAAUGAAAGAAUAUUUAAAUAUAGAACUUGAGAUAUACAUAGAAAAAACACAAGAAGAAGAACAUAGAUAAGCUAAAAUAACAAAGACACUAAUAAAUUUUACUGGAUAGAAUUUAAUACAUUGGUUGCAAAUAUUACAUGAUAUAGACUUUUUUCUUUAUACCGUGAGUGUCCAAGCCAACUUACGUGCACCUUGACUAAUCUCACGUAAUACAUGUUUCAAUUUUAUAUCCAUGGAGAUACAUAUUUCAAUUAUAAAUUUUCUUUGAAACUGAAUAGGUGUGAAUAUAAGUUCGUAUCCUUAAUUCUUAACACCACUCAAUAUUAACUGUGAAAUUCUUAAAGUGCAAAAAAUACAUAAAGAUAAGUUUUUGUUGAGCACUCGCUGUGCCUCAAUAUCAUAUAGAGAAUAUACACAUUUACAGUAACUAUUGUCCUUGGCAAAAGGAGCAUCUUCAAGAAGGUAACUCUUGAUCUAGGCUAAAGAGAGAAUACAAUCACAGGAUAGUACACAUUAAAAUAUACUGAUUGAGAACUGCAGAAAAGGAAAGAUUAAAAUACCAUUUGGGAGUGGGUCAAAAGGACUUCCCACCUAUUCUCAACAAAUUCUCUCCAGCCUCCAAAUUUUAAGCCAUUGAACUGAUGAGCAUCAAUUUGUAGCCUGUAAGCAGGUACAUACUCGCUAACCCAUGCACAGAAUUCAGAUCCACCAAUCUUUUCUAGUCUAGUGAGUUCAGUGGGCAUCCACCAAUAGUUCAUCGAUUUGGAAUUCCUAUGUUUCCAGCUCUCCUUAUUUGAAUUAAAUUUUUGUAAUAGACUCUUAGGAUCAGCUAUCUCGUUGUCAAAUAACUUGUGGAUAACAACUGAAGAAUCCUUUGAUGCAACUAUUGUGGACUUCCGAAACCAACCAAAAAGUCUAGUUGAAGUUCCUCUUGAUGUUCCAUCGACAAAUUUUCCUUCGGUAUUUUGAAGAGCACACAUGCAAACAGUUUCUGCAAGAACAGAGAUGGCUCGUUCCUCGGAUGAACUGAGAGUGAAAGAAAUUGGAACCUGCUGAUAUGAAAUGCAUAAGAGAACUGAACCUAUCAGUAUCAUGCGAAACCUGCAGCAUAGACAUACUACCGUGAUGUUUCAAUUUUUCAAGCAAACAAAAUAUCCACAAACACACAAAAUAGAGGAAAAUAAGGCGAAAUUACAAACCUCUCUUGGAUUUUCAAGAUCUUCCAUAUUCCUGUCAGAUCCGGGUGUAAAAACAACCAGUUCAAAGUCCCAAAGCUGUUGCAAUACUACUUGUCUAAACGUCAUAGCAAGUAUAUUUUUGGACUCGGUACUUGAAUUAAAAUCUUGAGCGAGAGACUUUCUGAGCUUCGUGGCCUUUUCCCUGACUUUUCUGGCAGGUAAAAACUGUUAACACAGUCAACUUAGGAAUGACAAAUACAAUCGGAUAGCUAAAUUUUAUCUAACGACAAUAUUCCAGAGAGGGGAGAGGAGAUACAAUGGACGGAUUCUAGAAAUGAGCAGUGUUUUACAACAACACUCCCAAUUUCAUGAGAUGACAACAUCGCACUACAGUAAGACAAAAUUUUAAGCAUCAAACAAUACUAUAAACGGACAUAUUAGUGAAGGAGCUCUUAAAGUCAGCAUUGAACCAGAGAAGGGAACGCCAUCAAAUCAAUCCCAUUCAUCAAUCAUGGAGUUAAUUGUUUCGACGGUGGAAUUCAAAAUCGGUCAUAGUUUUUUUUUAUAAAGAAUCCAAAUUAAAAUAGAGGCUCCUGAAGCUAACAUGCCAGGUGCAAGUUUAGGAGAAGGCGUUUACGUCAAUAUUCGAAUUCAGUCUCCUAAAUGAAAAUUGUAGCGAUGAAGAAGAAUAUUCAUAGUUGUUAGUCACGGAAAUCGGUUCCAUAAGACACCGCCGUCGAAUGCGAGCUAAAACGAGCACCAAAUUACAGUCAGGUUAAAAAAUAACUAACCAGCCGAGUCGAGACAGUGCUGUGUUCAUCAGAAGUUCCCGGGAAUACAGUCUCCACAACCAUUGCAGACAUCCCAGAAUCAAGGUGCUCAGUGGCGGCUUCACCGCCAUCAGCCGCAGCCGCAGUAACAGACUGCCGGAAAUCGACGCCUCCGACCAGAGAUAGCCGAGACAAGUCAUUCUCGUACGUCCGAACGCAGGGAAGAAUCUUCUCAUCGGACUCCAGCACAGCUUGAAGAACCUCUUCCUCGGUCGUCGGAAUUGGCCUCCCAGCAGAGCAAGAGAAGGUAGAAAAGCAAUGCCUAGAGUUUUUCAGAACAAUUUUGGGAGUAUAAAUUGAGGGUAUAGCAAACAGUCGGCGAGCUGGUAUAGUCUGUAUAGGAGAAUAUUGGAUAAAAUACGAACUCAAAGCCAUUGGAGAAAUGGCCAUAAACCUCUAAGCGAGUGCUAGGGUUUUCGUUAUAUAGUGCUAAUAGCUGUGAGUCGCCGGAGAAGCGAUGUCUCGUGCCCACAUCCUUUUCCCUCCAUUUCUCUACAUACCCUCCCAAAAUUACAAUUAACAUUUCCAUUUUCUUAAAACAAUAAUAACAAUAAUAAAAUAAAAUAAAAUAAAUUUAAAAUUAUUUCUCUAUGCUUUUAGUAUAAACUCUUAGUCAUAAUUUUUAUGAAAAUUGACUUGUCAAUUUUGUACGAUCUACGUUUAAAGAAAUGAUCACUUCAUGGAUUUGAAGGUUUUAAAAGGUAAUCCAAAAUUUAAUUAAUUUAGAUUGUAAGUUAACAUUGGUUAAAUGAAAUAUGAAAUAAGGUGUCAAAAUAUGAGGGUAAAAUUAAAAUAGUGGGGAAAAGAUAUGAAGCUGAUUCUUGGGUACCGGUUCGGGUAGGGUUUGGGGAAUCCGGUUGGCGUUUUUUGAGCAGAGUGAGAUGUAAACGGGACGGGAAGAAAUAAAGGCAACACAACUAUAAAUUCUCCUCUCGGCGGAAAGGCGGAGCAGGGACCAACUUCGCCUUUCACAAAAUUAACUAAGAGGGGGCUUCUAUUCUAACGUCGAUUCUGCUCCUCUUCUACUUUUUCCCUUCUGCUUUUCGUCGACGAUGGGAAGAGGAAAGUACAAGAGCAAGCCCACCGGUCGGCGCCAAUUCUCUACCCCUGAAGACAUGCGUGAGCAAUAAUUCUCUCUCUUUUUUCCACCACCUUCGUUCGAUUAUUGAAGAUCACGAGAUAUUUGUGUUUCAUUGUUAUCAUUUCCCUGCCUGUUGUUUUCAUUUUAUAUAUUUGAGGUGAUGAAUUCUAGUUGUUUUUCAAGGAUACGACCUGGUGAUUGUCAUGGAGAGUUCAGUUUUUGGAAUGAUGCUGGAUAUACCAGUGCUUUAGGCUGUCUUAUAAAUUUCUUAUUUAUAGAUCAGUUUCUGCGACUACGAGGAGAUGGUUGGUGUUGAGAUCUAGGCUUUUAGUUGAUUCCGGAAAUAGUUUCACUUUUCUAUUAUGAAGUGUAGAAUUUUCGUAAUCUUAAGGAAGUUUAUUGGUUACAUGCACGAGUUACUUCGACUGCAGGAUAGAAUGCGUUUUGUUUUGGAGUUGCUGCAAUAGUUUCUCUUUUUUAACCACGUUCGCUCGAUUAUUGAGAAAUUGAAGGUUACGAGUUCUUUUUCUUCGAGUGUUGAAAUCAAAGUUGUUUCGUGCUUGACAUGGAGAGUCUAGUAGAAUGAUGUUGGAUAUUCAGCGACUUAGGCUGUUUUAGGCGUUGCUUAAUUAUCCUUAGAUCAGUUUCAGCAACUAUGAGGAGGUGUGGUUGGUGGUGAAAUCUAGGCUUAGUUGAUUGUGGAUAGAGUCUUACCUUUUUAUUGUGGAGUCUCAAACUUUUGUAAUCUAAAUAAAGCGUCUUGGUUAUAUCGCUAGUUGUGUGAUUUUUGCUUUGGAAUUGGUUUGUAGAAUAGAAAAGAUAAGGAGAGAUUGAUGGUGUCGAGGAAUUAACCUUUUUUUGUCAUCCUUACAUAUGGUUCUGCAAUUCGUAGUCUCAUUUUUUAUAGACUUUAAGAUGGGUGAAAUUUGAGUUGCUAACUUCAGUUUCUGAAUUAAUUGUAGUUGCUGGGACCUCCACACGUCCACGCACGUUUAAACAGGUUCUCUCUCCCCCUCCCCAUCUUUGUGUGUGUUCUCACUACCAUUAUAGUGCCCCACAGUUGUUUUUGUCAAUUGAGGAUGGAUAAUACGCUAAUGUGCUGCAUCUUUUUUCAGCAGUUGGUUCUUCAACUGCAUGGUUUUGCUCUUUCUUUUUACUUAUUUUUGUGCACACAAGGUAUUUAAUCUAGUAUUACAGGUAGAAGCUGAGCACAAGGAGGAGGAAGACUCUGAGGAAGGAUCUGAACAAGAAUCUGGGGAUGAAUCUGAUGAUCAGGGAGAUAAACCCAGAGUUUGUAUCCAGUGACCUUCCUUAUACAUAAAUCUAAUUUUCUGCAUGUCUUGUUGUUUUUCAUUUGAGCUGAGCGAGACUAAGUCUCCUUUUUUUGUUGUCAAUUCUACCAGAGGAAAGGCACUCAAGGUAUUAUUGAGAUUGAAAAUCCUAACUUGGUCAAGCCAAAGACCUUGAAAGCUAGAGAUAUUGAUGUAAGUUAAUAUUCAUCCUUACAUAUGGUUUUACAAUUUGAACAUUGAUAUAAAGUUGAUGUGUAAUUUCACUUCACGUUGCAGAUUGGGAAAACAACUGAGCUUUCAAGGCGUGAGAGGUUGUUAUAAGUUCUAUUUUGUUUGUUUUAACAGAUAUUCAACAUUUAUUUAAUUUCUAUGAUUAUUGUUCUAGAAACAGAUAUGACAGAUUUAGGAAUGCUUUUCUCACAGUUUACUCUGUAUUUAUUUUUUUUACUAGGGAAGAGAUAGAGAAACAAAAGGCUCACGAGCGAUUCAUGAGGCUUCAAGAACAAGGGAAAACUGAACAAGCUAGGAAAGAUCUAGGUAAUCCUUUUUCAAUGAUCAAUGGUUUAAGUGUGCCUUCUAUGUUUCUGAGAAUGGAAUAUUUUUUAUAAUCAUUCUGUCAUCCAAGAUUAGUAUUUGUGCUUUCUUUUUAUUCUUGUUCUGAGUUAAAAGGGAAAACCUUGUAGGAGCUCUCAAAAUAAUCACCUGCAUGCCACACUUUCUUUAUAUUUAAAUUGUUUAAUAUAAAUUUGGUUCAAAAUGCGCUCUUAUAAUAUCAUGGGAAACCCAAUGCUAAGUCCUGGAACAACUAUUAUCUUGUGCACUGAUGUUAGCUGGUGAAUGUCAUGAACAAAUUUGAAGGAAGAACUUUCGUUGGACUGUCCGAUAUUGAAUUUUGUUUCAUGGUAUGCUAUGCAGAACGUUUGAGUCUUAUUCGUCAACAAAGGGAAGAAGCUGCUAAAAAAAGGGAAGAAGAAAAGGCUGGUAAUUUAUACAACAGUACACAAAAGCUCUUAUAGUUAUAGUACCAUUCCCUCCUAACAUUGAAUUGAACUGAUUGAUAUUCACUUUCCCUUUUUCCCUCUCUUUCAGCCAGAGAACAGAAGAAAGCAGAAGCUCGGAAAUGAGCUCUGUGGACCCUCCAAGCUCUUUUACUGGGACGAACAAUAUGUAAUCUCUACAAUUUUACUUUCUAGUUUGCCUAGACAAAUAUUAUCAUUCUACGUCUGUGUGACCGUGCAACCAAGUAAUAUUCCCUUUGGCACAGAAGUGACCAUAGUAUUAUUCUGUUCACAUUUAUAUUUUAUGCAAGUAAACUUCUGAUAUCUUCUUCAGCAUAAGAGGUUCCAUUCAUUCUGACUUUUAAUAUUAGGUUAACCUUUAUUCUCUACGCCUUUAUACCUUAUCAAUUUAGAAUAUAUUUCUGUUUUCUUCUUCAAAUUUUGGCCUAGAUUACUGGUGGGAUGAUUUGCUGAGAAUUGUUAGAAUCUAAACUUGGAUGGCUGAAAUUGUUAGAAUCAGCGUAAAGAAUAAAUGAUUAAUCUAUUUGUUUCCGGGAAGGGAUAUACAUUGAUAGGCACCGUUCUUAUACCUCCUGCUGCUUCUUCACGCGACUUGUAGGCAGAUAAAAGAAAGGAAAAUAAAAUUAGACCACAUCACUGGGAUGCAAUCUUAUGAUGUGCUAUUCUAUUUCUAUUCUCUAAGGACAUUUGGAUUCUCGUUUUGGAGAAAUAGGGUAUUACCCGAAGCAUGGGGAUUUCUUUGCCUUAUUGUUUUCCAAAACUCGUUUUCUUAUUUGUAUGUUUGUUUGAUUUAUCUGAAGAAUUUGUAAAUGUUUGAAUGAAGGUUUGGUAAAAGCGUAUAUUUUUAUACCAAUAGAAAAUCAAGAUGAUGGGUGGAAAUAUAGUUUCAUCUUAUGCUUAUAUUAUAUAUUGUUUAAACUUCUUGAAAGCUUCUAUUUAUUUCGGUAUGGUUUUGUCUCCCCUGGUUUUGUCGUAUACAAACUCUAAACUUGGGAUUUACAUUCAAAUCUUCUAGGCCUCAAUUACCAUUCUGGUAAUCUUCUUUUUUCUCAAUAAUACAUCUUAUUGAGCCCUAAACUUACUAUGUGACAAUUUUUUUUAAUCUCAUGUUCAAUUUUCACUAGAUUCAUUGAAUUUUCUAGAAAAUUUGAGUAAAUGUUUCUCAGCUCGAAAUUUAUUUCGUGAAUAAAUCUAAUUGGCAAUCAAAUCGUAAAUUAACUAGUUCAAACAUAUCUCCAACCAAUAGGUUAAAUCAAAUCUCCAACUAGUUUUCAACUAAAGAGGUUUGAACUUUAAAUAUUUUCAACUGACCAUCUUCAAUAGCAAAUUUUUGAAAAUAAUGGUCUUUCUAGUGUCGGUUGUAUUUUGAAGCUUAAUUAACAUAUAUUUUUUCAAGCAACAAAGUUGCGUUCACCUCCUAAUCUCGAACUAUUGCCUAUGGUACUGAGAAAAUUAACGAACCCCUAAAUUAGUGUUGAUAUAAUUGUAAAUCAAGCGUCCCCAAGGCCACCGUACGUGGCUCAGGCAAACCGUCUUGAAACCGACUUUGAUUCUGUUGAUGCUGUAAUUGUAAAAAGAAGAUUGCUGAGGAUUGAGAACUGGAACUUUUGCUCAGUAAAGUUGCUGCCCGUCACCAUGACUGAAUCCAAUCUUCCCAGCGAUCCUUCUCCUUCUCAGCCUAAAAUGUCGAAUGAAGUCGGUACCGGUGCCCCGAAGUCCGAGUUCACAGGCCACAAGGUUCGGUUUCCGAACCCACCGGAGAUCCAAAAUCCCGACCCUGCAACUCUUCGAGAUCAAUGGAGAUUUGCCAUUAAACAGUACAGUAAAUGGUACUCACACGCUUGGGGUACUGCUAUACUUGCUGGAAUCUCCUUCUUCGCUCUCGGUUGGGUUAUUAAAGGCUCCAAUCCUCUUCCCUCUCGCCAGGAUGAUUCCAAUUCGCCUUCCUCCUCUGCUUCCACUAGCGCACCUGAAGCUCGCCCUUGAAUUUCUGACUUUGGAUUUUGGUGAGUAUCUUCUUUCAUUCGUAUCAAUGCCUUUUUAUCGAAUUCUUGAUGUUGGGUUUUCCAGAAAAGAAAAAAAAAAAAAACAUCUGUUGGAAAUUCAGGUGGGAUUAUUGUCGAAUUUAUUGUUGUUAUUUGAUUGCUAAGAAUGAAUUUUGAAGCUUCUGAGUCAGGAGGGGUUUCCUCGUUUAAGUUCUGAAUUCCUGGAAAUGGUUUCUCUUGACACUAUAGUAUGCAUCCAGACAAGUUCUUUUUUUAAAAUAAAAAAACAGCUUCACGUGCUCUUGUGAUGCCAAUUAGUACAAAGUUCGAUUGUGAAUGAGGUCUAAUACUGAAGCAUGAUUGUUAUCCAAUGGGGACUUAUCUAGGGAUGGAAAAUCUGUAGCUUCCAUCGUUCUAUUUACAGAGUCUUCUCAAUUUGUAGUUAAACAAAAGCUUUCCUCUUUUAUUUUGGAUAGGCUAAGCAAUCAUAGAACGAUAUGAGGGAUUCUUAAUUUUUCCUUUAUAUCUAUUUCAGUCUAUCUUCGACAGAUAAAUACAAAAUUAGUUUAUUCAAAUAAGUAAUUACUUCUUUUAUACUUUACCAACUGCCAUUCAUUCACAUUGUUGGUUCUCUAGAAGAUUAAGAUGGGAACUUUUUGACCUUUUGGGUCCUUGCUAUGUCUGCCGGGUGACCGUAUUUAUUUAUUUUCUCCUCAAAUGUGUGAUGGCCAGAAGUUUUAAGGAUAACUAGAGGUUCUCCGAGACAGCGGUUUGUAGAUGUCCAUUAGGAGAUCUGGUUAGAAAGAAGCAAAAUAAUUUCCGAAAUUGUGGUAUAAAAUCUUCUAAGUAGAUGUUUAAAACUUGAUAUUUUUAUAGAUUCCUAUAGAGCAUCUCUUUAAAAUCCUUUUUGGCGACUGUUCUAUCUCUUAUCAUGACUAGUUAGUGAAACUUUUAUAGCUCCAUUGAUUUAAUGGGCUUUUUUGUGCAUUUGUGCAUUUGCUUAUUUCAUUUGACAUUUAACAAUGAAGUUUAAUUCUUAUGAAAGAUGUUAUAGCGUGAAUUAGGUCUUGAGAUGAGUUUUUCGUUAGGUCUUUUUGGGCAGCAAGUGGUUUUAUUGAUUUGGUGAUCAAUAUGAUCCAUGUGUUUUAGCAAUGCUCUAGAAGCUGGUUGUGCUUAAUGGUAGCUUCGAUUUUAAUUUCCUGUGCGUGCAAUAAUUAGCCACUACUGGAUGUUGUUAUGUUUCAUGCACUGAAAUCCAUGACUUUGAUGCACAUUCAUUCAACUCUUCUAGCAUAAUUGAGACUCAAGGAAUUACUUUGUUGAUUUGGGUUAUGGCACUAUGAAUAACGCUUUUAUUGUUUGUCUUCAGAAAAAUAAACCCAUCUUUGCUCACUGGCACUGGAUCGAUGACUUGUGCUUGGAGUUUGGACGUUUUUAAUCUUCAGAAAGCUUCGGUACUGAACCGUCAUCAUUCUGCAAGUAUGCGUCUUGCUUUCAAUUUUCAUAGUUUUCAUUUUACCAUUUUGUAAAGUUAACCUUUUUGACACACGGUUGGAUAGGAAGUGUGAAGUUAAUAUAUGGUUGGACAUUUUUAUUUUGUAAUUGUUUACAUUACAUAAUAUUGGUUACCAGUUUAAGCAUCCACCUCUUUCCCUUUAGAUCAGUAGCUUGACAAUAGAGCAUCAUAUUAGUUUCUAGUACUUGAGACCAAAAGUUUAACUGUUAGGUUUUUGUUAAGAAAAUCUUCUCAAAUCACCCUUAUGAUUCUUGUUUUCUAGGAUAAUUUAAACAUGCCAACCGAGUAGAACAUACAAGCAUAUCAAACCUCUAUCAUUUAGGUAUGGCUGCAGGGUAUUACUCCAAGUUGAAGUUCUUCCCAAUAUCUGAAGAGAUUGUCAAUCUCAUAAAACCUAAUAAAGUUAAAUAAAAUUUUCAAAACAUUUUUAAUUUAGAGUUAUCUUUUCGGUGAGAUGUUAACAAUUUUAGUUCACACACUAAUUGUUAGGCUAAAUUCUUUUUUAACUUUUUUAAGUUCAAGAGUAUUUCUGAAACUUUUCAAUAGUUUAGGGUAUUUUCAAAACAAAAUUGUAACGGUUUGCACUCAAAUUUUUUAGCGGUAAUGGUUUGGAUCCUUUUCUAAUGUUGAGGAUACUUUUUAAUUUUUUUUAAAAAAGUUGGGUGUAUUUGUACACAAAAUGAAAAGUUGGGCAUUUUCUUUUGUAAUUUAGUCCAUUUUGUUUAUAUAUAGCUGCCAUAGGAGCAUGCAGUGUAGACAGCCACACAAACAACAAGCAACUUGAACAACAUAACCCUUUUUCAUCUUAAUAGGCUUCAAACUUCAUGGGUUGGUUUUUCCACGUAGGUGAAACAAUUAGGGGGCGUUUUGGGGUUCUUGGUUACUAUUAUAAUGUGUGUUUUGGGGGGUUGGUUAUUAUAAAAUAAUAAACACAUAGGUUAAAAGUGCAAAUGGUGUAACAAAGAGGACUUUGGCUUGAAAGUAUUGUGCAUUACAAGUUCACUAUUCGUCAACUUUAACUUUUACCAACUGAGACUUAGGUGAAACUCCAAUGAUGACUGGAUUGAAAAAUGUCUAAAGCUAAACUUUUAAAAAGAAAAUCAUAUCUAUACAUACUUCAUUUUUCAAGAAUAAAAAUACUUAGAUGCAGGUCAGACCAAUCCAAUCUAAUCCACACCCAUUAAAAUUAAAUAUGUCAUAUCAGCUGUAUAUAUUUAGAAAGAACAAUUGUAGAAGUUUACAAAAUAUAUUUUUUCAAAUUCUAAUGAAAUAAAAAAAAAGGUGUAGAAAUUAGAAAACAGAAUAAAGGAGGGAUGAGGAAGAAGACAAAGGUAAGAGAAAGAGAAAAGGGUUCCAAAGGUUGGUGGCAGAAAAUGGAAGAACAAUCUAAUCACUUCAACUGUUUCCACUACUGCCAAAAUCUAAAACCAUCCUCGUUUGUAGGCUUUUUGGCAUUUUAUACAAAUAAAAGCUGCACAUUUCUUAGACUAUUCUCUCACUACUCAAAUAUCAAAAUAACCCAGGAAAAUAAACAGCCAAAUAAAUCAAAAUAAGUUGCUCUGACGAUGUUAUGUUUCACUGUAGCUGUUGAGAAGAGAUUUAUCAGUUAUGGUAUGGACAUUGUACGUACAAAUCAGCAAUAUGCAUUGUUGAUGAUGAAGAUCAAACAUGAUAGUUCAUUCAAUAUUCCUAAAGGUAAAAUAAAAUAGAAUAAUAAUAAUAAUAAUAAAGCAGAAGAAUUUGGGGUUUUGUGUAAAAUCAAAAUCAGUCAUUCAACUGUUGGAAGGUGUGUGCACGUAACAAAUGUUCCAAAUGAAAUCCUGUGUGUAAAAUAUGUCAUCCAACUGUUGGUUCAAAUCAGCACAUAAACAAACAGUUUUUUCUUUUCAAUUUUAUUCAUUUAAACCUUUUCUCUUGUUGGUAUGUAUAUCUUGAACUCUAGCAGUGUUCCAUUCCAUCUUUCAUAUCUUCACAACAUUAAUUCUUUUCCUUUUGAAGACAAUUCCUCUGAUUCCUUUUUUCUCCUAACUUUUUUUUCAAUAUUUUUUCCAACCUUUAAGUAUUUUCCUUGUGGAGUUUAAUAGUAGCCAAUUGAAUAUUUUGAGUUUCAUUUGUUUUUUUCUUACUUUGCCAUGUGGGGAUCGGAAUAUAUGUCAUGUCACAUUUAAGUUCUUCACACAUGUUGCAAAUGUGAAAGAUCAUAAUAAUGUCUUUUGACAUCAGGUUUCAUAAAACUAAGAUAUCUUUUACUUUUUAAUUUAGUGUUAAAAACUAAACUUAUACAAAGUUUAAUACGAAUAAAAAUGGGAAAUUGUAGAGUUUUUAAUAUUAACCGGUUAAUGGAUUAAGACAUUAAUAAUUAUCAUAAUCUUAUUGUGAUAUGUAUUUAAGGGAUAAUACUUGCUUAUAUACCACAUCAAUAUAAUUUUAAGUUACAUUCUGUCAAUAAAUUUUAAUUAUCGUCAACAAAUAUAUAUGUAGACGGUACGAGAAGAUUUUGCAAAUUGUAAUUCAAGUUCUAUAUAUUGAGUACAUAAUUAAGGAUUGGUUUUAGUUUUAAAUUUGUUCAAUAGUAAAUAGUCAAAUUCACUUAUCUUCGAAAAAAUAGGCACUGUAAAGUUUGUAACUUCAAUUAAAUUUACAAUGCAAUUCCUCAAUUCUUGAAUUUGUACUCAUUUUAUUGGUUUGUCUGAGAAAGAAAGUAUAAUCUAGUUCGUGAGUUUAUCUGUUUUUUUUACGUGGAACUUCAAAUAUGCAAGAAAUUGGCUUCUCACGUACUAAAAAAACAAUACAAAAAAAAAAAAAAAGAUUGCUAACCACAAUUCAAUCACUAGGUCAACACUAAUUUUCUCAACCUAUCCUAUUAUAAAUUAUUUGGAAACAAAAAUUUUCAAGUCAAACUCUUCAAAUAUUGUUUAGGUUCUAUCUCUCCUCUUAAAAUUGAUUUUAGUAAAAAAAAAAAAAAAAAACAGAAUAGAGAAGAACAAAAGUCAUAAAACAAACCACAUUAAUUGAAGGGACUAAAUCAGUCAAGAGAUGUCAUUAAAGUCCAUAUUUAGUAAUCAUAGUCUAAUUUUGUAAUGAUCACCAAAUGACAGUUUCAUAAUGUAAGGGCAAUAAGGAAAUUUAAAUCGAGGAAUUUGAAAACACAAAAAAAGUUAAUGAAUUUAAUGAAAAGGGAAAAAGUAAUUAAUUAAGUGGAGGAGUUACUAAAACAAGAUGCUGGUUAUUAAUUAAAAGGUAAAACUGAAAGUGGAAAAGUAAAAUCUUUUUUGACUGGGAACAAAGUUGGCAACUUGAACUGAAAUUAGGGUUUUGUUUGAGAAUGAAACUGCAAAACCAAAAGAAAUCCUAAAAAGCUGGCAGAGUUUAAGACAAAUGAUAUCAUCUAAUUUGGCUCUGCAACCUCCUCGCCUCAUUAACUGCAAACUCUCAAUCGACAUUAUUCUUGUAACAUUCCUACCACUAAUUGCCCUAAUUCAAUCUCAAUUAACUAUUCAAAGAAUCUUACAAAAUCUCUUUGAUGAUAUCAUCCAAUGGAUAAGACAUCUCUUUACCCAUUAGGUCAAUGAUUCAACCAAUCGAUUAAUAUUUCAUUCUAAGUGAAGGUUUGUUCAUUUUAACUAAUUUUCGUUAUAAGUCAAGUGAGUCCGUGAAUACAUCAAUUAGCUAAAAAUGGAGAUAGAUAUAAAAAGUCCAUUAAGAAAAAAAAUACAAAUUACAUUGUGCCUCAAGGAUUUAUAUUGUUCAUUAAUAAUCUCCUCCCACGCAUAGAGCUUGGUCACAAACAGUAAAAUCUAAACCCUAGCUACUCAUAGAUAGAGAGAUAUAUAUCAGAGGCACAGGAAACACAUGCAGCUUAAUUCAUUAUUCCCCUACUACUUCCCUCCACAUUCUUCCAUUCUUCUAUAUCUGCAUAUGAAAACUCAAUAAAUAAAUAAUAAUAACAACAACAAAAAGAAGAAGAAAAGAGAUCACGAGAGAAAUCAGAAGAUAUACCAAAAUCUUAGGGAGUAAGGAUGAGAAAAAUCAGAAGGUAUACCAAAAUAUAUCAAUUAGAUUUCAGCCAUUUAAGGUUUGACUUUUCGGGUUUAAAAAUUAAGAUGGGUUAGCAGACAUUAAAAGUAAAUGAAAGGAGGGGCAAAUACCAGAUAAUAGUAAGAACCAUGUUGGAGUGAGUGGAGAGUGAGACCCCAGUCAUUGGUGAGAACAGGCUGACCAUUUGAGUGAAUCAAAACGGCUUCAUCACCAAAAGCCUCGCGUACAUUGAACGGUCCAGAACUCACCUCGAAACCCACACCAUUGAUGAAUACGGUUGAUUUUCCUACGCCACAAACUUCUCCUACACCUGCAUAACACAUGAUCAUUAUUCCAUUUUCUAGGUCAAGGGGGCCUCAAAAACCCAUGCACACGUCCAUCUAACGCUACAUUAUUAUUCAUCAUAACCUAAAUCUCGGCCCCUCAAAACCCUUUUCUUCAAAUCCUAAAUUUUUUUUGGAGAAAAAACGAUGAAUUUUUAAAUCCAUUUCUUUCUACUCUCUUCAACCCAUUUGUCAAAAUCCUUCCUUUAAUUAAAUAAAUGAAGUUAAAAGGUCAUUGACCUGCAAUCUAAAAACACUUGGUUGUUAUAUACAAUCACAUAACUAAUUGGUUAAAACAUGUACAACGAAAUGAAAUCUAAGAUAAUUUUUUGUUUAAUUUAAUUAUGUUACCUUGAGGAAUUGUAUUGGUAGGAGAUGGAAGAGUGGUGAGAGGCGUGGAAAUAGUGGACUGGGAAAGAGUGUGAUCAGUAAUAGAGGAAGUCAAAUUAGAAGGAUGAAAAUUCAUAAAUUGUGGCUGUGAUUUCACCAUAUUAAUCUUGUCUUGAUCCAAAUCUUUCUUUAAGGCUUCAGUUGGGCUCAUAAUUUCACUCAACAACAGGCUUGUGCAAGGCCCAACUCCAUGUUCAGCAACUGGCUGCACUACACUACACAGCUCCGAGAAGCAAAACCCUUGACUCAAAUUACAGCUUCCACCGCCGCUCCCGGUCUGUGUCGAGGACACUGGGAAGAAAAAGGGAUCGGGCAAAAUCUCGUUGGUGGGUUGAUGAAGGUAGUUUUGAGUCACUGAAUUAUUGGAGGUAAGAGUCUUUAUUGGAGGUUUCUUGGGAGAAGAUUUGUCAGAGGAUGAAGAGGAAGAACAAGUGGCGGUGGUGGUGGCGGCGGUGGCGGUGAUGGAGGUUGUUGUAGUGGUUUGGGAAUUAUGAUUGGAUUUGGAGUUUUGGAUAUGGCGGAGUUUGUUUUUGCUUCUGGAUUUCCUGUUUUGAAACCAAUAAAACACAUUCGCAUCACCCACUUGUCCAUAUUCUUGUAAUUGAGCUCUAAUUUUUCGAAUUUCAUCUCGGGGAGGAUUCACCAUCCCAGAAUUGAAAAUUGCUUCAAGAAUCCUAAUUUGUUCAGGUUUUGGAUUCCAUCUUGGUUUUGGCUCCGGACUCCUCUCUUCACACCCACCAACUAUAAAAAAAAACACACACGCAAAAUUUGAUCAUAUCAAAUAUAUUAAACUCCCAAAAAGAAAAGGAGAGAUUUUGAAUAAUUAGAAGAACCUGUAGUGUAAGGGGCAGAUCUAAGGCAGGAAGUGGGAGUGGAAGAAGAAAGACUAGUAGUAUUGAUGUCAUGUUGCCAUUGGUGAUGAGAAUUGCAAGGUUUGGACUUGAACAUGCUAGGCCAGUGUCUGUUAGAGGAAGCCAUGAAAAUAUAUGAUAUGCUGCUGCCCUUUUUGUUUCCUUAUGAUAUAUUAUAAUUCCACUCUCACUCACUCUCUCAAUACUACUACCUCUCUUCAAAACCUACACCCAAAAAUCUCAACUUUAUAGCCCUAUUCAACUACCCCACCUCUCUCUUUUUUAAUUAUUAUUUAAAAAAAAGCCCCAUCUUUAAUUUGAGAUCAGUACUGAUCAAAAAUAUAUAUAAUUUUUUUUUCAAAACCCCACAAACAACAGGAAUCCACUGUAAAAGGAGAUUAUUAAUAAUAAUAAUUUAAAAGAAAAGAAAAAAAGAGUACUUUGAACUUUUCUUUUGAUGACUUGUUAAAAAGUGAAAACACUUUUUGAUGAACUCACUAUAACUAGCUAGAAAUCGAAAAGUAGAAGAUAAAGUUAUUCAUGGGUGAGAGAUCAUGAGAAGCAAAAUAGAAAAAUGAAAAGGGAAUUGGUUGUUGGGGGCUAAAUUAGAAAUCUUUCUCACUGAGUCACAGAAGAUCAAGAACCCCUCUUAAUGCCAAACCUUGCUUUACACAAAAGUGAAGUGGGUUUUUUUUUUUUUUUUUUUUUAAUGGAGAAAGAGAGAAGGAGAUUAAGUUGAGGUAUUUUUAAUUUUUCUAGGGUUUUAAAUAGAAGGAUAUUAAAUAGGGGGGAAGAGAAAAUACGCGAUUGGGAUUAUUCUAAUACAAAAGGUUGUUGCAAAACAUAAAUAGGGGGUGAGAAGAGGUAGAGACCAAAGGGUUUUUUUUUUUUUUUUUUUUUUUUGAAAGUCAAUAGGAAUAUGAAAUGAAGGUUUAAUUUUGAUUGGAAAAUGGUGAUGGGAGGAUAGUAAUUGCAAAGCUUUAUGUUAUAUUGGGAGAAAUAAGGUGGAGUUUUUGGAUUGACUCGAGGGAUUAAUAUUUAUUGUCCCUCUUUUUAUCUUUUUAAUUAACUCUUCACAUAAAUAAAAGUUACCUUUUUUUAGGAAAAAAAUAAAAAGAUAAAAAUCAACUCAUUUCAUUUCUCUAGGCCAUUUCAAAAUUUCAUACUUAUGAACUUAAUUAACCCUAUUGACUCUUUUUUUUCUUCUUAUUCUCCUUAUUUAACAGUGUGAAACUACUUUAUCACACAGUCAAAAACUUUUCAAAGCUUUUUGUGUUCAACAACGUAUAGCAGUGCAAGUUUAUUGUUAAAAAAAAAAGGUUGGAGUGUACUUAAAGUGUUUGACCUUUUUUAUUAAGAAAAA